rnacentral:rRNA from 1 species
GCUUACGGCCAUACCACCCUGAGCACGCCUGAUCUCGUCUGAUCUCGGAAGCUAAGCAGUGUUGGGCCUGGUUAGUACUUGGAUGGGAGACCGCCUGGGAAUACCAGGUGCUGUAAGCU